rnacentral:rRNA from 2 species
GUGGGGAAUAUUGCACAAUGGGGGAAACCCUGAUGCAGCAACGCCGCGUGAGUGAUGACGGCCUUCGGGUUGUAAAGCUCUGUCUUCAGGGACGAUAAUGACGGUACCUGAGGAGGAAGCCACGGCUAACUACGUGCCAGCAGCCGCGGUAAUACGUAGGUGGCGAGCGUUGUCCGGAUUUACUGGGCGUAAAGGGAGCGUAGGCGGACUUUUAAGUGAGAUGUGAAAUACUCGGGCUCAACUUGAGUGCUGCAUUUCAAACUGGAAGUCUAGAGUGCAGGAGAGGAGAAUGGAAUUCCUAGUGUAGCGGUGAAAUGCGUAGAGAUUAGGAAGAACACCAGUGGCGAAGGCGAUUCUCUGGACUGUAACUGACGCUGAGGCUCGAAAGCGUGGGGAGCAAACAGG